rnacentral:rRNA from 1 species
UACAACCCGAAGGCCUUCAUCCUGCACGCGGCAUUGCUGGAUAAGCUUUCGCCCAUUGUCCAAAAUUCCCCACUGCUGCCUCCCGUAGGAGUCUGGGCCGUGUCUCAGCUCCCAUGUGUGUGACUGGUCGGUCCUNUACAAGACCAGCGAACAGUAUUCGNCGCGGCAUCUGGUAAGCUUUUAUCCCACCAACUUCCUACUCUCCAUCGGCNGCUCNANUUGCGAGACNGCCCGAAGUCCCNCGACUUACGAUCCUCGGAUUUUAUGCGGUAUUAGCUCCCCCUCGCGUNGUUGGCAACCCNCUGUACCAGCCAUUGUAUGGCGAUGUAGUAGCCCCACCUAUAAGGGCCACUCGAGGAGCGUCUGACGAUCUAUUCCCCACCUUCCUCCGGUUUGUCACCGGCAGUCUCAUUAGAGUGCUCAACUGAAUGUAGCAACUAAUGACAAGGGUUGCGCUCGUUGCGGGACUUAACCCAACAUCUCACGACACGAGCUGACGACAGCCAUGCAGCACCUGUGUGCAGGUUCUCUUUCGAGCACGAAUCCAUCUCUGGAAACUUCCUGCCAUGUCAAAGGUGGGUAAGGUUUUUCGCGUUGCAUCGAAUUAAACCACAUCAUCCACCGCUUGUGCGGUCCCCGUCAAUUCCUUUGAGUUUCAAC